rnacentral:rRNA from 1 species
UCAAGCUAUAAAGAGCACAAGGGGAAUGCCUUGGCACUAGGAGCCGAAGAAGGACGUGACUAACUGCGAUAAGCUACGGGGAGUUGUAAGUAAACAUUGAUCCGUAGAUAUCCGAAUGGAGCAAUCCGGCUGUGGUCAUGCACAGUCAUCAUAUACUGAAUACAUAGGUAUAUGAGGGGAACCGCCUGAACUGAAACAUCUAAGUAGGGCGAGGAAGAGAAAUCAACCGAGAUUCCGCUAGUAGUGGCGAGCGAACGCGGAAGAGGCCAAACCAGAGGUAGAAAUACCUUUGGGGUUCGGACAACAUACGAUAUUGAUAAUUUCUAGCUGAAUAGUGUGGGAAAGCUAACCGAAGAAGGUGAGAGUCCUGUAAGCGAAAGGAAGAGUCAGUCAGUUGUAUCCAGAGUACCGCCGGACACGUGAAACCCGGUGGGAAUACGGGGGGACCAUCCUCCAAGCCUAAAUACUACCUAGUGACCGAUAGAGAAGAAGUACUGUGAAGGAAAGGUGAAAAGCACCCCGGGAGGGGAGUGAAAGAGAACCUGAAACCUUGUGUUUACAAGCACCGAAAGUCCAUCAAAGGACGAUCGGGUACCUUUUGUAGAAUGGUCCGGCGAGUGUAUGUAUCUAGCAAGGUUAAGCACUUAAGGUGUGAAGCCAAAGCGAAAGCAAGUCUGAAUAGGGCGACAAGUUAGAUGUAUACGACCCGAAACCGGGUGACCUACCCAUGGCCAGGCUGAAGUGAAGGUAAAACUUCAUGGAGGGCCGAACCGACUCCCGUUGAAAUGGUAGCGGAUGAGUUGUGGGUAGCGGAGAAAUUCCAAUCGAACCCGGAGAUAGCUGGUUCUCUCCGAAAUAGCUUUAGGGCUAGCCUUGAAAUAGAUUACUGGAGGUAAAGCACUGAAUUGGCUAGGGGCCGAAAGGUUACUGAACCUUAUCAAACUCAGAAUGCCAGAUAAUCGUUUUUCAGGAGUCAGACGGUGGGAGAUAAGUUUCAUCGUCAAAAGGGAAACAGCCCAGACCCACAGCUAAGGUCCCAAAUUAUAGUUAAGUGGAGAAGGAUGUGGGAUUGCAUAGACAACCAGGAUGUUGGCUUAGAAGCAGCCACUCAUUAAAAGAGUGCGUAAUAGCUCACUGGUCGAGUGAUCCCGCGCCGAAAAUUUAACGGGGCUAAACUAUAAACCGAAGCUUGGGAUACCGCAAGGUAUGGUAGGAGAGCGUCAUGUAAGGGGUGAAGUCAUAGCGAAAGCGGUGGUGGACUUUACAUGAGUGAGAAUGCCGGAAUGAGUAGCGAGAAUUAAGUGAGAAUCUUAAUGGCCGAAAGUCUAAGGUUUUUGGAGGAAGGUUCGUCCGCUCCAAGUAAGUCGGGAGCUAAGGCGAGGCCGAAAGGCGUAGUCGAUGCACAUACGGUUGAUAUUCCGUAACCACUGACAACUUAAACAAAAUGACACUUUAGAAGGGCUUGACCCGGGUGCUGGUAAUCCCGGGCGUAAGGGACCGAAAUUUAGUAGGGAAGCAAGCUUAGAUAGAGGCGAGAAAAGUUUUGUGUAUGUAAUGUUGGUGCCCGUACCGCAAACCGACACAGGUGGACAGGAAGAGAAUUCUAAGGCCAGCGGGAGAAGGGUAGUUAAGGAACUCGGCAAAUUGACUCCGUAACUUCGGGAAAAGGAGUGCUCUCGAGAGAGAGCCGCAGUGAAUAGGCCCAGGCGACUGUUUAGCAAAAACACAGGUCUCUGCCAAAUCGAAAGAUGAAGUAUAGGGGCUGACACCUGCCCGGUGCUGGAAGGUUAAGAGGAGGAGUGAGAGCUCCGAAUUGAAGCCCCAGUAAACGGCGGCCGUAACUAUAACGGUCCUAAGGUAGCGAAAUUCCUUGUCGGGUAA